GGUUUGACGUAAUUAAACUUUUUUUAAAUUAGUAAUUUUGAAUUUAGUUUUUAAAUUAAAAAAUUUAAAUUUUAAAAAGUGACGAGAAGACCCUAUAGAAUUUUAGAAUUUUUAUGAUAUUAUAUUUUUUUAUUGGGGUGAUAUGAAAAAUAAACAUUUCAAAAUAAAAUCAAUUUUAAUGAUUUUAAGAUCUUAAUUUUUAGAUCAUUAGUAUAAAUUACCUUAGGGAUAACAGCAUAAUUUUUUUUUGAAGAUCAUAUUUAUAAAAAAGAUUAUGACCUCGAUGUUGAAUUAAGAUAAUAUUUUGGUGCAGAAUUUAAAAUAUAAAGUCUGUUCGACUUUUAAGUUUUACAUGAUUUGAGUUCAAACCGGUGUGAGCCAGGUUGGUUUCUAUCUUUUUUUUAUUU
rnacentral:rRNA from 1 species